AACGAACGCUGGCGGCAUGCCUAACACAUGCAAGUCGAACGAGACCUUCGGGUCUAGUGGCGCACGGGUGCGUAACGCGUGGGAACCUGCCCUUAGGUUCGGAAUAACUCCCCGAAAGGGGUGCUAAUACCGGAUAAUGUCUUCGGACCAAAGAUUUAUCGCCUUUGGAUGGGCCCGCGUUGGAUUAGCUAGUUGGUAGGGUAAAAGCCUACCAAGGCGACGAUCCAUAGCUGGUCUGAGAGGAUGAUCAGCCACACUGGGACUGAGACACGGCCCAGACUCCUACGGGAAGCAGCAGUGGGGAAUAUUGGACAAUAGGCGAAAGCCUGAUCCAGCAAUGCCGCGUGAGUGAUGAAGGCCUUAGGGUUGUAAAGCUCUUUUACCCGGGAUGAUAAUGACAGUACCGGGAGAAUAAGCUCCGGCUAACUCCGUG
rnacentral:rRNA from 1 species